UCCUGGUUGACCCAGGCAGUCUCACUAGAGUUCCCACCAUUACGUGUUGGCAACUAGUGAUAAGGGUUGCGCUCGUUGCUGGACUUAACCAAACACCUCACGGCACGAGCUGACGACAGCCAUGCAGCACCUGUUCAGCAGUCCCGAAGGAAGAUACUAUUUCUAGUACUGUCUACUGUAUGUCAAGUCUGGGUAAGGUUCUUCGCGUUGCAUCGAAUUAAACCACAUGCUCCACUGCUUGUGCGGGUCCCCGUCAAUUCUUUUGAGUUUCAGCCUUGCGACUGUACUCCCCAGGCGGUAUACUUAUCGCGUUAGCUACGACACAAUCGGGGUUGAGUCCGAUUACAUCAAGUAUACAUCGUUUACGGCUAGGACUAC
rnacentral:misc_RNA from 1 species